rnacentral:rRNA from 1 species
GACGAACGCUGGCGGCGUGCUUAACACAUGCAAGUCGAACGGAAAGGCCCUGCUUUUGUGGGUUGCUCGAUUGGCGAACGGGUGAGUAACACGUGAGUAACCUGCCCUUGACUUUGUGAUAACUUCAGGAAACUGGGGCUCAUACCGGAUAUGACCUCCUGCUGCAUGGUGGGGGUUGGAAAGUUUCGGCGGUUGGGGAUGGACUCGCGGCUUAUCAGCUUGUUUGUGGGGUAGUGGCUUACCAAGGCUUUGACGGGUAGCCGGCCUGAGAGGGUGACCGGCCACAUUGGGACUGAGAUACGGCCCAGACUCCUACGGGAGGCAGCAGUGGGGAAUAUUGCACAAUGGGCGGAAGCCUGAUGCAGCAACGCCGCGUGCGGGAUGACGGCCUUCGGGUUGUAAACCGCUUUCGCAUGUGACGAAGCGUGAGUGACGGUAAUGGGUAAAGAAGCACCGGCUAACUACGUG